AUUGAACGCUGGCGGCAGGCCUAACACAUGCAAGUCGAACGGUAACAGGAAGCAGCUUGCUGCUUUGCUGACGAGUGGCGGACGGGUGAGUAAUGUCUGGGAAACUGCCUGAUGGAGGGGGAUAACUACUGGAAACGGUAGCUAAUACCGCAUAACGUCGCAAGACCAAAGAGGGGGACCUUCGGGCCUCUUGCCAUCGGAUGUGCCCAGAUGGGAUUAGCUAGUAGGUGGGGUAACGGCUCACCUAGGCGACGAUCCCUAGCUGGUCUGAGAGGAUGACCAGCCACACUGGAACUGAGACACGGUCCAGACUCCUACGGGAGGCAGCAGUGGGGAAUAUUGCACAAUGGGCGCAAGCCUGAUGCAGCCAUGCCGCGUGUAUGAAGAAGGCCUUCGGGUUGUAAAGUACUUUCAGCGGGGAAGAAGGGAGUAAAGUUAAUACCUUUGCUCAUUGACGUUACCCGAAGAAGAAGCACCGGCUAACUCCGUG
rnacentral:rRNA from 1 species